rnacentral:rRNA from 1 species
UACGAAGGGGGCUAGCGUUGUUCGGAAUUACUGGGCGUAAAGCGCGCGCAGGCGGCUAUCCAAGUCAGUGGUGAAAGCCCGGAGCUCAACUCCGGAACUGCCAUUGAAACUGUUUAGCUUGAGGACGAGAGAGGUGAGUGGAAUUCCCAGUGUAGGGGUGAAAUUCGUAGAUAUUGGGAAGAACACCGGUGGCGAAGGCGGCUCACUGGCUCGUAUCUGACGCUCAGGCGCGACAGCGUGGGGAUCAAACAGG